AGGAAUUGGCGGGGGAGCACCGCAACGGGAGGAGCGUGCGGUUUAAUUGGAUUCAACACCGGAAAACUCACCAAGGGCGACUGUUACAUGAAAGCCAGGCUAAUGACCUUGCUUGAUUUUCAGAGAGGUGGUGCAUGGCCGUCGUCAGUUCGUACCGUAAGGCGUUCUCUUAAGUGAGAUAACGAACGAGACCCUCAUCUAUAAUUGCUACUUCAUUCUCCGGAAUGGAGGCACAUUAUCGAGACCGCUGGCGCUAAGUCAGAGGAAGGAGAGGUCAACGGUAGGUCAGUAUGCCCCGAAUCUCUUGGGCUACACGCGCGCUACAAAGGGCGGGACAAUGGGCUACGACGCCGAAAGGCGAAGUCAAUCUCGAAACCCGUCCGUAGUUCGGAUUGAGGCUUGUAACUCAGCCUCAUGAAGCUGGAUUCCGUAGUAAUCGCGAAUCAAAAACUCGCGGUGAAUAUGCCCCUGCUCCUUGCACACACCGC
rnacentral:rRNA from 1 species